UCGGUCCCGGUUCACGCCGCACACUCCUUUCCGGUCCAUUCGGCCGGGGGGAGGGCGACCCGGGGCC
rnacentral:ncRNA from 1 species